ensembl:misc_RNA Metazoa_SRP Metazoan signal recognition particle RNA
GCCAGGUAUAGUGGUGCAUAUCUAUAAUCCUUGCUAAUGUGGUGAGUGGGCUGGUUGAACUGAGUCCUGGUGUUCUGAACUUAAGUGGGCUAGUUUUAUGGCACAUUCUCACUAAGCUCAUCAUUAAUAUGGUGGGCCUCUAGGAGCAAAAAGACCACCAGGUUGCCUAAGGAGGGGCCACCUGGCCCAGGUUACAAAGAGAGCAGAUCAAGGCUCCAGUGAUGAGCAGAGUGAGCCUGGCCAGUGAGUGGUUCCAUUGCUUCCAGCCUGGCUGAGAUAAGGAGAACUGGUCUUU